UUACACACACAAUUACACACACAAUUACACACACAAUUACACACACAAUUACACACACAAUUACACACACAAUUACACACACAAUUACACACACACACAGACACACACACAGACACACACACAGACACACCCAUAGACAUAUGUAGGUAGGUAGGUAGGUAGGUAGGUAGGUAGGUAGGUAGGUAGGUAGGUAGGUAGGUAGGUAGGUAGGUAGGUAGGUAGGUAGGUAGGUAGGUAGGUAGUAGGUAGGUAGGUAGGUAGGUAGGUAGGUAGGUAGGUAGGUUGGUAGGUGUGCAUGCACCAAAGUGUUUCGUGGUGAAUAGAGUCAAAAGUCCUACUGAAGUUUAUCUGCAUCACGAUAAGUGGUCUGUCUCCGGGCAAUGUAUGCUAAGAAAUGAGGUGGCGCAGGGCAACACGGAGAAUUGAUUUCUCCGUUCCAGAGCCACACCUACAUCCCGCCUGUCUUGCGGCGCAGUUUCCGUUUUCCUCACAGAAUUUGUAACCCGGCUAGCGAUGAGCGCGGCGCACAACUUGCACAAAGGGUCCCCCACAGCGAUACCCCGAUAAUUAUCACAUGUUGAGUCAUCUCCCUCCUUGAGUGCGGGGUACAAUGUAGUGGACGUAAAGGCUAGGCACCCUGUUCGCCUCCCUCGUACACGCAGUUGAAUACUUACGUCCGUUAGGUUGCAAUGGCAUGCCUUGUUCGCCCGUCAUGCCCCUCAGUAGUUGGAUGCUUGUAGUUCUCGGCCAGUGUGGGUUCCCGUUGUGAGGCGUAUGUAUACCUACGCUGUGUGUUAUGUGAAUCCCAUCAAAAUUGACCCCGGUGGGGAUUGAACCCACAGCCUUCGGAUGCUUUCUUCUUU
rnacentral:lncRNA from 1 species